rnacentral:rRNA from 1 species
AACGAACGCUGGCGGCGUGCCUAAUACAUGCAAGUCGAGCGCAGGAAACUGACGGAACUCUUCGGAGGGAAGGCAGUGGAAUGAGCGGCGGACGGGUGAGUAACACGUAAGGAACCUGCCUCAAGGAUUGGGAUAACUCCGAGAAAUCGGAGCUAAUACCGGAUAGUUCAACGGACCGCAUGGUCCGUUGAUGAAAGGCGCUCCGGCGUCACCUUGAGAUGGCCUUGCGGCGCAUUAGCUAGUUGGUGGGGUAACGGCCCACCAAGGCGACGAUGAAGAGCCGACCUGAGAGUGUGAUCCGCCGGACUGGGACUAAGAAACGGCCCAGACUCCUACGGGAGGCAGCAGUAGGGAAGCUUCCACAAUGGACGAAAGUCUGAUGGAGCAACGCCGCGGGAGUGAUGAAGGUUUUCGGAUCGUAAAACUCUGUUGUAAGGGAAGAACACGUACGAGAGGGAAUGCUCGUACCUUGACGGUACCUUACGAGAAAGCCACGGCUAACUACGUGCCAGCCGCCGCCGUAA